rnacentral:rRNA from 1 species
AGUGAACGCUGGCGGCGUGCCUAAUACAUGCAAGUCGAACGAUGAAGUCCUAGCUUGCUAGGAUGGAUUAGUGGCGCACGGGUGAGUAAUAUAUAGUUAAUCUGCCCUACACAGAGGAACAACAGUUGGAAACGACUGCUAAUACCUCAUACUCCUAUUUGACAUAAGUUAAAUAGGGAAAGUCUUUUCGGUGUAGGAUGAGACUAUAUCGUAUCAGCUAGUUGGUAAGGUAAUGGCUUACCAAGGCUAUGACACGUAACUGGUCUGAGAGGAUGAUCAGUCACAUUGGAACUGAGACACGGUCCAAACUCCUACGGGAGGCAGCAGUAAGGAAUAUUGCGCAAUGGGGGAAACCCUGACGCAGCAACGCCGCGUGGAGGAUGACACUUUUCGGAGCGUAAACUCCUUUUAUCAGGAAAGAAUAAUGACGGUACCUGAUGAAUAAGCACCGGCUAACUCCGUG